rnacentral:rRNA from 1 species
UACGUAGGUGGCAAGCGUUGUCCGGAAUUAUUGGGCGUAAAGCGCGCGCAGGCGGUCCUUUAAGUCUGAUGUGAAAGCCCACGGCUCAACCGUGGAGGGUCAUUGGAAACUGGGGGACUUGAGUGCAGGAGAGGAAAGUGGAAUUCCUGGUGUAGCGGUGAAAUGCGUAGAUAUCAGGAGGAACACCGGUGGUGUAGACGGCUUUCUGGACCGUAACUGACGCUGAAACACGAAAGCGUGGGUAGCAAACAGG